AAAAACAAUAUGUUCCCCAACUUCGUUUGGGGAACAUAACUAAAACUAGAUAGUCUUGUUGCUACAGCAACAAAUAAGGUCUUCCGUUCUUCAGACUUUUU